rnacentral:rRNA from 1 species
UACGGAGGGUGCAAGCGUUAUCCGGAUUCACUGGGUUUAAAGGGUGCGUAGGAGGGCAGGUAAGUCAGUGGUGAAAUCCCCGAGCUUAACUUGGGAACUGCCGUUGAUACUAUCUGUCUUGAAUACCGUGGAGGUGAGCGGAAUAUGUCAUGUAGCGGUGAAAUGCUUAGAUAUGACAUAGAACACCAAUUGCAAAGGCAGCUCGCUACACGAAUAUUGACUCUGAGGCACGAAAGCGUGGGGAUCAAACAGG